UAGUGGCGAACGGGUGAGUAACACGUAAGUAACCUACCUUUAAGACGAGGAUAACAAUCGGAAACGGUUGCUAAGACUGGAUAGGAAACAGAAAGGCAUCUUUUUGUUUUUAAAAGACCUUCUUCGGAGGGUAUGCUUAAAGAGGGGCUUGCGCCACAUUAGUUAGUUGGUGAGGUAAAGGCUUACCAAGAUUAUGAUGUGUAGCUGGACUGAGAGGUUGAACAGCCACAUUGGGACUGAGACACGGCCCAAACUCCUACGGGAGGCAGCAGUAGGGAAUUUUCGGCAAUGGAGGAAACUCUGACCGAGCGACGCCGCGUGAACGAUGAAGUAUUUCGGUAUGUAAAGUUCUUUUAUUGAAGAAGAAAAAAUAGUGGAAAAACUAUCUUGACGUUAUUCAAUGAAUAAGCCCCGGCUAACUAUGUGCCAGCAGCCGCGGUAAGACAUAGGGGGCGAGCGUUAUCCGGAAUUAUUGGGCGUAAAGGGUGCGUAGGCGGUUAGAUAAGUCUAUAAUUUAAUUUCAGUGCUUAACGCUGUCUUGUUAUAGAAACUGUCUUGACUAGAGUGAGAUAGAGGCAAGCGGAAUUCCAUGUGUAGCGGUAAAAUGUGUAAAUAUAUGGAGGAACACCAGAAGCGUAGGCGGCUUGCUGGGUCUUUACUGACGCUGAGGCACGAAAGCGUGGGGAGCAAACAGGAUUAGAUACCCUGGUAGUCCACGCUGUAAACGAUGAGUACUAAGUGUCGGGGAAACUCGGUACUGAAGUUAACACAUUAAGUACUCCGCCUGAGUAGUACGUACGCAAGUAUGAAACUUAAAGGAAUUGACGGGACUCCGCACAAGCGGUGGAUCAUGUUGUUUAAUUCGAAGAUACACGAAAAACCUUACCAGGUCUUGACAUACUCUGCAAAGCUAUAGAAAUAUAGUGGAGGUUAUCAGGGAUACAGGUGGUGCAUGGUUGUCGUCAGUUCGUGUCGUGAGAUGUUAGGUUAAGUCCUAAAACGAACGCAACCCCUGUCGCUAGUUGCCAGCACGUAAUGGUGGGGACUUUAGCGAGACUGCCAAUUAAACAUUGGAGGAAGGUGGGGAUAACGUCAAAUCAUCAUGCCCCUUAUGAUCUGGGCUACAAACGUGAUACAAUGGCUAUUACAAAGAGUAGCUGAAACGCGAGUUUUUAGCCAAUCUCAAAAAGGUAGUCUCAGUACGGAUUGAAGUCUGCAACUCGACUUCAUGAAGCUGGAAUCGCUAGUAAUCGCGAAUCAGCAUGUCGCGGUGAAUACGUUCUCGGGGUUUGUACACACCGCCCGUCAAACCACGAAAGUUAGCAAUACCCGAAAGCAGUGGCUUAACUUCGCAAGAAGAGGGAGCUGUCUAAGGUAGGGUUGAUGAUUGGGGUUAAGUCGUAACAAGGUAUCCUUACCGGAAGGUGAGGAUGGAUCACCUCCUUU
rnacentral:rRNA from 1 species